UUGCAAACGCCAGAUCUACCGGACUAUCUAAUACCAAGACUAAAGAUGCGAUUCAAAGAUGUCGAGAAAGCAAGGGAAUUUUAUAACAGAUACGCCAGACACGCUGGUUUUGGAAUCAGGAAGACGGGUGGAAAUGACAACCACAAGUAUUUUGUUUGCGCCUUCCAAGGGAUACACACAUCUUCUGUUUCAGAGGCCAGCAGGAAGCGAAACAAAACAUUGCAGAGGACGGGCUGCAAUGCAAGAAUGAGGGUGAAGGUGCAGGAGGAUGGCACAUGCGUAGCAGUGGACAUUGAGUACAAUCAUAAUCAUCAGCUCAUGCAAACUGAUGACAUGCUGGUAUUUUUGUACUCACACAAGAAUUAUGACCCCACUAUUUUGGAGUACGUAAAGCUCCUGCAGUACCAUGAUGUCAAGCACACAACAAUCAUGUCCAUGCUAUCUGAAAAUGAAGAUGGAAGCUACUUCCUAAGAAUGACCGGACGAGACCUGCUAAACCAGAAAGCCAUGAAUGCAAGGAAAGAUGGUUUGGAUGAUGUAUUGAAACUUGUUUCAUUCUUCAAAGACAUGAAGGCGAUAAAUGAUGAGUUUUUCUAUGACAUCCAAUUGGACAAGGACAAGUCAAUUAAAAACAUUUUCUGGUCCAAUGCAAGCUACCGAGGAGCCUAUCAAGACUUCGACGAUUGCGUAACAUUCGACACGACUUACAAGACCAACAGAUUUCAUAUGCCACUGGGAGUGUUUGUUGGAACAAACCAUCACUUGUAGUCAACCAUAUUUGUUGUCGCCCUGAUAAGAGACGAAGAUGCAAAGUCAUUCAAGUGGUUGUCUGAUACAUUUCUACGGUGCAUGAACAAAAAGCACCCAACCUGCAUUCUAACAGACCAAUGCCCAUUGAUGGAGAUAGCUAUACCACAAUAAUUUCCAAACACCGUCCACAAGCUAUGCCGUUGGCACAUCUUGAAGAAGUACAGGGAGUACCUCGCGUUGCUGUACAAAAAGUGUAAAACAUUCAAAGAGGAGUUUGAAGAUGCCUAG
rnacentral:rRNA from 1 species